AUGCACGCUGGCGGCGUGCCUAAUACAUGCAAGUCGAGCGAACGGACGAGAAGCUUGCUUCUCUGAUGUUAGCGGCGGACGGGUGAGUAACACGUGGAUAACCUACCUAUAAGACUGGGAUAACUUCGGGAAACCGGAGCUAAUACCGGAUGAUAUUUUGAACCGCAUGGUUCAAAAGUGAAAGACGGUCUUGCUGUCACUUAUAGAUGGAUCCGCGCUGCAUUAGCUAGUUGGUAAGGUAACGGCUUACCAAGGCAACGAUGCAUAGCCGACCUGAGAGGGUGAUCGGCCACACUGGAACUGAGACACGGUCCAGACUCCUACGGGAGGCAGCAGUAGGGAAUCUUCCGCAAUGGGCGAAAGCCUGACGGAGCAACGCCGCGUGAGUGAUGAAGGUCUUCGGAUCGUAAAACUCUGUUAUUAGGGAAGAACAUAUGUGUAAGUAACUGUGCACAUCUUGACGGUACCUAAUCAGAAAGCCACGGCUAGCUACGUG
rnacentral:rRNA from 1 species